rnacentral:rRNA from 1 species
GACGAACGCUGGCGGCGUGCUUAACACAUGCAAGUCGAACGAAAUUAAAAAAUUAUCAUUGAGCUCUCCGAUGAGAUGGGAGCCAAGCGUCGUGACCGCGCAGCGGGCACCACGCGUUCAACAAGUGCAACACCAAGUCGAAGGGUUGAAUGGUAAUUUUUUAAUUUAGUGGCAAACGGGUGAGUAACACGUAGACAACCUGCCGACAGGAUGGGGACAACAUUCCGAAAGGAAUGCUAAUACCGAAUGAAGCGGAGGAGAGGCAUCUCUCUUCCGUGAAAGAUGGCCUCUAUUUAUAAGCUAUCACCUGUCGAUGGGUCUGCGUCUGAUUAGCUGGUUGGUGAGGUAACGGCUCACCAAGGCGACGAUCAGUAGCCGGUCUGAGAGGAUGAACGGCCACAUUGGGACUGAGACACGGCCCAGACUCCUACGGGAGGCAGCAGUGGGGAAUCUUCCGCAAUGGGCGCAAGCCUGACGGAGCAACGCCGCGUGAGUGAAGAAGGUCUUCGGAUCGUAAAGCUCUGUUGACGGGGACGAACGUACGGAGUGCGAAUAGUGCUCUGUAAUGACG